ACKGCUCAGUAACACGUCGAUAAUCUGCUCUAAGGUCUGGAAUAACCUCGGGAAACUGAGAAUAAAGCCGGAUAGGGAAAAGAUUCUGGAAUGACCUUUUCUUCAAAAGCAAUGCCUUAGAAUGAGUUGGCGGCGGAUUAGGCUGUUGGCGGUGUAAUGUAUUUCCGAAGGAAAUGUUUAAAAUUCCGUCGGAAUUUUAUAAGACCACCAAACCUUUGAUCCGUACGGGCCUUGAAAGAGGUAGCCCGGAGAGGGACACUAAGAUACUGGUCCCAGCCCUACGGGGUGCAGCAGGCGCGAAACCUUUACAAUGCACGAAAGUGUGAUAAGGGUAUCCUAAGUGCUCAAGUUUUACUUGAGCUUUUGCCAAGUGUAAAUAGCUUGGAGAAUAAGUGGUGGGCAAGACUGGUGCCAGCCGCCGCGGUAACACCAGCGCCACAAGUGGGAAUCAUGUAUUUGGCCUAAAGCGCCCGUAGCCUGUUUUGUAAAUUCUUUGUGAAAUUGACAAGCUCAACUUGUCAGCGUGCAAGGAAGACUGCAUAACUCGAAAUCGGGAGGGGUCGGGAGUAUUCGGCGGGGAGCGGUAAAAUGCGAUAAUCCACCGAAGACUACCUGUGGCGAAGGCGCCCGACCAGAACGAAUUUGACGGUGAGGGACGAAAGCUGGGGGAGCAAUCUGGAUUAGAUACCCAAGUAGUCCCAGCUGUAAACACUGCGAGCAAGGUGUUGCGCAAUCUUCGUGAUUGCGCAGUAUCGAAGCGAAGGCGUUAAGCUCGCCGCCUGGGAAGUAUGGUCGCAAGACUGAAACUUAAAGGAAUUGGCGGGGGAGCAC
rnacentral:rRNA from 1 species